ACGCUCGACACCUACUGGAGGCAGCAGUGGGGAAUAUUGCACAAUGGGGGAAACCCUGAUGCAGCGACGCCGCGUGAGCGAAGAAGUAUUUCGGUAUGUAAAGCUCUAUCAGCAGGGAAGAUGAUGACGGUACCUGACUAAGAAGCCCCGGCUAACUACGUGCCAACAGCCGCGGUAAUCUGAGCGGCUGGCAAGGC
rnacentral:rRNA from 1 species